AGUCGAGGGGCAGCAUGGUCUUAGCUUGCUAAGGCCGAUGGCGACCGGCGCACGGGUGAGUAACGCGUAUCCAACCUGCCUUACACUCUUGGACAGCCUUCUGAAAGGGAGAUUAAUACAAGAUGUUAUCAUGAGUAAGCAUUUUCGCAUGAUUAAAGGUUUACCGGUGUAAGAUGGGGAUGCGUUCCAUUAGAUAGUAGGCGGGGUAACGGCCCACCUAGUCUUCGAUGGAUAGGGGUUCUGAGAGGAAGGUCCCCCACAUUGGAACUGAGACACGGUCCAAACUCCUACGGGAGGCAGCAGUGAGGAAUAUUGGUCAAUGGACGAGAGUCUGAACCAGCCAAGUAGCGCGAAGGAUGAAGGUUCUAUGGAUUGUAAACUUCUUUUAUACGGGAAUAAACGGAUCCACGUGUGGAUUUUUGCAUGUACCGUAUGAAUAAGGAUCGGCUAACUCCGUGCCAGCAGCCGCGGUAAUACGGAGGAUCCGAGCGUUAUCCGGAUUUAUUGGGUUUAAAGGGAGCGUAGAUGGGUUGUUAAGUCAGUUGUGAAAGUUUGCGGCUCAACCGUAAAAUUGCAAUUGAUACUGGCAGUCUUGAGUACAGUUGAGGUAGGCGGAAUUCGUGGUGUAGCGGUGAAAUGCUUAGAUAUCACGAAGAACUCCGAUUGCGAAGGCAGCUUACUAACCUGUAACUGACAUUGAUGCUCGAA
rnacentral:rRNA from 1 species